CGGAGAGGGGGCCCGGCCCCCGGGCCGCCCAGCUCAGCGCCGCCCGCGGGCUCCGGAGCGCAUCGGGAGCUGGGCCGGGCUUGGGGCCGCGCUGCCGCCGGCGCUGCGCUGUGCUCCGCGUUCGCCUAUUGAUCUGAUCCGCGGCGGCGACGGCGGCGGCGAGGAGCCAGGUCAGGUCCGAACAGAUUGGCGGAGAUUCCCGGGGCUCCGGGCUCUGAUUGACAUUUCUACGGGGCGCAAGCCCCUCCUCUCUGCGCCGCGCUCCCUCCUCUCGGCCGCCGGAGCUGCCUCUGCCCGCGCCUCGCUCCUCACUGCCCUCCUCUCCCCAGCAGUGUCGCGCCUCGCUUCCUUCUCCCUCCUCUAGUUUUCACUCCCCCUCCUCGCCCUUCCUCUCCCCUCCCCUCUCCGCACUCCUCUUCCCCCCAGGAUCGCUUCCGCUCCUUCGGGCUCCUGCACUGCCCUGGACGCUAUGAAACUCUCCUUUCUCCUCUCCCCUUCCCUUUCCCUUUCUCACGAUGGCUUUUGCUCUCCGGUCCGUUCCCUUCACUUUUUCCUCUCUCACUACUUCUAUUCUUUAAAUCUCUCUCUUUACUCACACGAUACUUCCCCCAACCUUUCCAGCCUCUGCACCCUGGGCUAAGUAAGGCAGCCAAAAGUUGUGGACACUUAGGGUGCCGCGCGGGGGGUGUGUGUCCGUGUCUGUGUGUCCAUCCCCGCCCUUCCACCCCCUCCCUCGCCCUUCCCCAAAUCUCGGGUCUGACGUCGCGCCCUCUUAUUCGACUUUUCCCCGCGUCUCUUCCCCGAGUCGCCAAUCGCCUGGGCGCCUUACGGGCGAGGCCGCCCACCCCCGCGGAUUCCGCGCGCAGGGCGGGGCGGGGCAGGGGCGGGAGCCGGAGUGCCGCGAGUCCCUGCCCGCCCCCUCCUGCCCGCGCCGGGCGGGGGAGCGAGAGGCGCGGGGACUGGCAGCGGCGGACUCCUGAGAGCAUGGCCUGGCGUCCGCACAGGGUGGAAUUCGUAUUUGGCCAGGAAUCCGGACUCCGAGCAUCCCAGGAGACGCGGACCGGGGGCCUCCAGAGCUCUCCGGAGCGUGCUGCCGCUCCCCACCGGCCACCGGGGACUUGGAGGCCCUUCUUGGGUCCGGAGAAGCGACGGGGAAACUUAGGGGUAAACUUUGUCAACUUCGCUCUCGGCGCGGGAGAGGCCGCCGGCCGGAAUGGUGCAACAGCGGUGGCGGGCCGCGACGCGCAGAUGAAUUUGUCGCCUUAUUGGACGCCGAGGCCAGAGCGGUGUGAGGGGGCUCGGCCAGCGCUGUGCAUUUUCUUCAUGCAUAUUGAGAAGAUGCUGUGAUGCCACGAGAAUACUCAGAUAGCACACGGACAGGCCCACAUGGUAAUGAAUUGCAACUUGCCAGCAACCAUGUGGGUUAGCUUGAAGCAGAUUCUCCAGUCCUGAGUCUUCAGGUGACUGUAGCUCUGGCUGACCAUGUGACUGAACCUGAGGAGAAUCGCUGAGCCAAAGACACACAGAUAAGCUGCACCUGGAUUCCUGACCUACAGAAACUGUGAAGUAGUAAAUGUUUGUUGUUCAAAGCCAAGGGUUGGCAAAAUACAUUCCACUUGUUUUUGUAAAUAAAGUUUUUUUUUUUUUUUUUUUUUUUUUUUUUUUUUGAGACGGAGUCUCGCGCUGUGUCACCCAGGCUGGAGUGCAGUGGCGCGAUCUCGGCUCACUGCAAGCUCCGCCUCCCAGGUUCAGGCCAUUCUCCUGCCUCAGCCUCCCGAGUAGCUGGGACUACAGGCGCCCGCCACCACGCCCGGCUAGUUUUUUGUAUUUUUAGUAGAGACGGGGUUUCACCAUAUUAGCCAGGAUGGUCUCGAUCUCCUGACCUCGUGAUCCGCCCGCCUCGGCCUCCCAAAGUGCUGGGAUUACAGGCUUGAGCCACCGCGCCCGGCCGUAAAUAAAGUUUUAUUGGACCUUGGUAACGUUCGUUAAUGUGCCUAUUGUUAUGGCUGCUUUCAUACUUCAACAGCAGGAGCUAUUGAGUAGCUGCAGCAAAAGACUAUAUGGCCCACAGGUCUAAAAUAUUUACUAGGUGACCCUUUAAGGAAAAGUUUGUCUAUCCCUGUUUUAAGCUGCUAAGUUUGGGAAAAAUAGUUACCUAGCAAUGGAUGACGAAUACAAUAGCUUUCAAAUCCAAAACAUUGGUCCUAACUGGGCUUGCAGGUCUUGAGGUAGGGCAUCUAAUUUCAGUUUAGCUUUGUUUAAUAGAUAUUAACUAAGCACCUACUGUGUGCCAGGCAUGGUCUCAAUCAUAUUCCAGAAUGCCACAUUCAGUUCUUUCUCCACUGUCCCCUCCAGCAUUUUCUUGGUCUAUGGCAUGAUUUGCCAAAUAUUUGUGGAUUUAAGUUGGCUUUUAGAGACUGGAAUUAGCAAGACACUCUUUGGAAUGCAACAGAUAACUCUGUAAUCAUGGGGAGGUGAGCAGGGAGCAGGAGGACAUUUAGCUGGUAUUUCCAUGCAAAGUUCUGAUAGUUGUUAAAAUAUGGAAAUGUUUCCAUCCCACCCUAUGGAAAUAGAGGGCCCCAAAGGCCCUACCUCCAGUAAACAAAGGGGUCAGGUAUAGCACAGCAGGGCCACCCAC
ensembl:lncRNA